AAGCGCUUGUGACCAGACGUGCGCCGGGGUGUUCAGCGGGCGUUCUCGCCCGUGCACUCGCCUCGGUGCAGGCCAGCGUCGGUUUGGGUGGGGGGAUAAAGGCGUCUGGAAUGUGGCUCCUCCGGGAGUGUUAUAGCCAGAUGUGCCAUGCCUCCG
rnacentral:rRNA from 1 species